rnacentral:rRNA from 1 species
AGAAUGAGCGCUGGCGGCGUGCCUUACACAUGCAAGUCGAGCGAGGCCGGGUAGCAAUACCCGAGUCGAGCGGCAGACGGGUGAGUAACACGUGGGUGACCUACCUCGAGGUGGGGGAUAACCCGGAGAAAUUCGGGCUAAUACCGCAUAACAUCGAAAGAUCAAAGAGGGCGCAAAGCCUCUCGCCGUGAGAGGGGCCCGCGCCUGAUUAGCUAGUUGGUGAGGUAACGGCUCACCAAGGCGACGAUCAGUAGCCGGCCUGAGAGGGCGAGUCGGACCGACGACCUGGAACGUGAGACACGGUCCAGACUCCUACGGAGGCAGCAGUGGGAAGUUUGCGCAAGUGGGGAAACCCUGACGCAGCAACGCCGCGUGGAGGAUGAAGGUCCUUGGAUUGUAAACUCUGUCAGCAGGAGAAGGCCUGGGUGAAGUACCCCCGAGAGUGACGUACUGC